rfam:Aedes albopictus isolate Foshan contig104015, whole genome shotgun sequence.
UAGCCUAGUAGUUAAGGCUAUGGAUUGCCAAUCCGGAGACGGCGGGUUCGAUUCCCGU